AACGAACGCUGGCGGCAUGGAUUAGGCAUGCAAGUCGAACGGCGAAGAGGGGGCAACCCCUCCAAGCAGUGGCGAAAGGGUGAGGAACACGUGAGUAACGUACCCCCAAGUUGGGAUAGCUCCGGGAAACUGGAUUAAUACCGAAUGUGACCGCUCCUCGCAUGUGGAGCAGGUUAAAGAUUUAUCGCUUGGGGAUCGGCUCGCGUCCCAUUAGCUAGUUGGCGAGGUAACGGCUCACCAAGGCGACGAUGGGUAGCUGGUCUGAGAGGACGACCAGCCACACUGGGACUGAGACACUGCCCAGACUCCUACGGGAGGCAG
rnacentral:rRNA from 1 species